AAAAUGCGAUAAGUAAUGUGAAUUGCAGAAUUCAGUGAAUCAUCGAAUCUUUGAACGCACAUUGCGCCCGCCAGUAUUCUGGCGGGCAUGCCUGUUCGAGCGUCAUUUCAACCCUCAAGCCCCCGGGUUUGGUGUUGGGGAUCGGGCUGCGGUUCUACCGCGUCCCGGCCCCGAAAUCUAGUGGCGGUCUCGCUGCAGCCUCCAUUGCGUAGUAGCUAACACCUCGCAACUGGAACUCGGCGCGGCCAAGCCGUUAAACCCCCAACUUCUGAAUGUUGACCUCGGAUCAGGUAGGAAUACCCGCUGAACUUAAGC
rnacentral:misc_RNA from 1 species